rnacentral:rRNA from 1 species
UACGAAGGCCCCGAGCGUUAUCCGGAAUUACUGGGCGUAAAGAGCGAGCAGGUGGCGAUUAUAGUCUGAUGUUAAAUCUCAUCGCUUAACGGUGAGGCCGCAUUAGAAACGUAAUUGCUAGAGCGAGUCAGAGGCAUGUAGAACGUGCGGUGUAGCGGUGAAAUGCGUUGAUAUUGCACGGAAUACCAAAAGCGAAGGCAGCAUGCUGGGGCUUUGCUGACACUCAGUCGCGAAAGCGUGGGGAUCAAAAAGG